GAUGAAGAACGCAGCGAAAUGCGAUAAGCAGUGUGAAUUGCAGAAUUCAGUGAAUCAUCGAAUCUUUGAACGCACAUUGCGCCCCUUGGUAUUCCAUGGGGCAUGCCUGUUCGAGCGUCAUUUACACCCUCAAGCUCUGCUUGGUGUUGGGCGUCUGUCCCGCUGCUUUGCGCGGACUCGCCUCAAAGGUAUUGGCAGCGAUCAUGCCAGCUUCUCGCGCAGCACAUUGCGCUUCUUGAAGUUCUGGUGGAUCAGCGUCCAUUAAGCUUACCUUCAUGACUUGACCUCGGAUCAGGUAGGGAUACCCGCUGAACUUAAGCAUAUCAAUAAGCGGAGGA
rnacentral:misc_RNA from 1 species